rnacentral:lncRNA from 1 species
UUGAAUCCAUCUCUUCCAACAAUGGUAUUACAUCAUGCAUCUUGUUCCUUUUGAGAAGACCUCGAGCAAAAACAUUGUAUGUUACACUAUCAGGCAAGCAACCGUUGUUUACCAUUUGCGUCAUCAAAUCCUUAGCCUCCUCUAUCUGCCCUUCCUCACAAAGUGCACCGAUAAGGAUUGUAUAAGUUAUGACGUUAGGCUGUAAACCUUUGGAUGGAAGCUCAUGGAACAGAUCCUUUGCUUGUCUGACUUUAUUGUCAUUGCACAGUCCCUCAAUGAGGAUACUAUAUGUUAUUAUGUUUGGAACGAUGCCUUUAUCUUCCAUGGUAUGCAACACGGAAAAUGCUUCAGUGAUACGAUGAGCACUGCACAGACCAUCCAACAAGAUACUGUAAGUCUUCAAAUCAGGAGACAAUCCUAGAGCUUGCAUCUCUUUAAACAAAUUCAACCCGUCCUCGCAUCUGCCUUCACGAAAUAGUGCCUCUAGCAUUAUUCCAUAACAUACAACAUCACGCUUUAACCUUUUAGCGGGAAUUAUGGUAAAAAGACGUGAAGCUUCAUCGACUUGCCCCAUUUUGCAAUACCCGUUCAUCAAGAUAUUGUAGCUUAUGAUAUCAGGCUGGAUUCCGGAAUUCACUGCCAAUUGCAAAAUGCAUUCGGCUUCAUCCAUUUUCCCAUGCAAACAAUAUCCAUUCAUCAAGAUAUUGUAGCAUAUGAUAUCGGGCUGAAUUCCGGAAUUCACUGCCAAUUGCAAAAUGCAUUCGGCUUCGUCCAUUUUCCCUUGCAAACAAUAUCCAUUCAUCAAACUAUUGUAGCUUAUGAUAUCGGGCUUGACUCCAGAGUUCACCGCUAACUGGAAAAUGUGCUCGGCAUUGUCCAAUUCUCCUUGCGAACAAUAUCCAUUAAUCAACGCAUUGAAUGUGAAAACGUCGGGUUGAACAUCAAUCUCCUUCAUAUAAACCAACAUAUGCUCAGCCUCUUCCACCUUUCCAUCUUUGCACCAAGCAUCCACAAAGAUAUUACACGUCACCACAUUUGGGCAGACUAGAUCAGCUAUCAUCUUCUUUAACAUGUCUUCAGCAUCGUCCAUUCUUCUCCUAUUGCAUAACCCCUCAAUUAUUGAAUUAUAUGUCACAACAUUGGGUGAAAUCCCCUUAUCACCCAAAGAGGAGAAGAGUUGGAGACCUUCGUCGACCUUUCCAUCCUUGCAUAGAGCAUCAAUGACUAUGCUGUAAGCAUAGACAUUUGGUUUGCAGCUUCCUCUUCCUUUUUCCAAUGAGCAGAGCAAAUCAAUUGCCUGUAGAAUAUCUCCAGCUUUGCAUAACCCAUUCAUUAUAGUAUUAUACGUAUAUUCAUCGGGCUCGCACAGUUGGUAGGCCGACAGCUUCCCCAACAAUUUAGCUGCCUCUGGGAUCCUUCCAACAAACAGAAGGCCUUUGAUGAGAGUGUUAAAUGUUACAACAUCAGGCUCGU